rnacentral:tRNA from 2 species
GCGCCCGUAGCUCAGUUGGAUAGAGCAUCUGCCUUCUAAGCAGAGGGUCGCAGGUUCGAAUCCUGCCGGGCGCGCCA